AAGUCGUAACAAGGUCUCCGUAGGUGAACCUGCGGAGGGAUCAUUAACACCGGUACGCAAGUACCUUCUUACCAAACUUAGAGAGACACGACCACAUCCUUUUUUCAUUAUUUAUGUUAAACCACCCCUUUCCAAAAUCGUCCAGCCCUAUGAUGAUAGUAUUUCGGUGCCGGGAGAAAUCCCAGUAGCGCACCAGCUUGAUUAUGUAUUGUAACAAGCAGCACAACUCUUAGCAACGGAUAUCUAGGUUCUC
rnacentral:misc_RNA from 1 species